rnacentral:lncRNA from 1 species
ACUCAAGAUGAAGGUCCUCAUUCUACAACAAGUCCUUAUCACUCAGCUACAUGCAAGUAGUCGUCACUUCCCAGGAGACUGGCUCAGUUUCUUGUUGUAUCUGCUGGUGAGAAACCCCAAUGCAGGGAUUAGCAGACAAAGCGAGACACAAGUGAUAUGUUCAAGACUUGUCAAGAGCAUAUAAUUGACAGGAAAAGUGGCUCCUGGGAUGAGAGCCAGCCAGAUCCUCUGGGAGCAGUGCCAUUGGCCAGGCUGGCACACAGGAACACAUGCUCCAGUCUCUCUGGACUUGACAGCUGCUUCAGCCUUUGACAUGACCUUUUGGGAUCCUUACUAACCUGCUCCAGGCAGUUGUCUUCCAUGAAUUCUUAUGAUACGGAUUUCCACACAAGGCUCCUUAUCUUUCCAUGUGCAGGCUUCUUAUCCAGAAGAAGACACAGUCUGGGAACUCCUGGAAGCAACUGCUUGGAGUUCAUAUAUAUUCCUAAUGCUUUUAAGUGUCGUCCACCACCAGGAGGAAUUUGCUUGACUUUUACUGCAAAAGCAAGCAAGACACAAGAGGACAGCAAGCAUGAGUCCUCCGUCAUGGAAUUAUCUUCCAACUAAGGCUUCAAUUGGGUCCUUCAGUUUUCUAGUACAGGGGGGAGAAUGGAUCAUACAUCUAUCCAAGUAGGAAGGUCCAGCUCUGUUCUAACCCAGUGGAUAUCCUGCCACUUCAGAUUUAAAUUCUCAGCUGGGCUCAGUGUGCUAUUAUCAAGCCUGAGUAUACGAAUUAGCAACAGGAAGAAAACAAUCUGGAAAUUGAACCCAUCCAAAUCAGCACAGGCUCACCCUGCCCUUCUGGUGCAGCCCAAAUCUCUCAUCUCUGCCCACAGGCACUGUUGCAGAACCAUCCCCCACCCCCCCACACACACACCCUGCUGCCACAGCCAUCCUGCCUCAGGCCCUGGAUCUGAAGGGGCCUCACACACAGCUCAUCACCUCUGAAGCACCGUGAGCAAAGUAGCCAGGCGAGAACUCCCAGCAGCUAGCUGCGG